rnacentral:tRNA from 1 species
ACCAAAAGCUUAGGUUAAACCAAACCAGGGGCCUUCAAAGCCCCAAAUAAGGGACCCUCUCCCUUAGCUUUUG